GACGAACGCUGGCGGCGUGCUUAACACAUGCAAGUCGAACGGUAAGGCCCUUUCGGGGGUACACGAGUGGCGAACGGGUGAGUAACACGUGGGUGACCUGCCCCCUACUCUGGGAUAAGCCUGGGAAACUGGGUCUAAUACCGGAUAUGACAUGUUCCUGCAUGGGGAUGUGUUGAAAGUUUUUCGGCUGGGGAUGGGCCCGCGGCCUAUCAGCUCGUUGGUGGGGUGAUGGCCUACCAAGGCGACGACGGGUAGCCGGCCUGAGAGGGCGACCGGCCACACUGGGACUGAGACACGGCCCAGACUCCUACGGGAGGCAGCAGUGGGGAAUAUUGCGCAAUGGGCGGAAGCCUGACGCAGCGACGCCGCGUGAGGGAUGACGGCCUUCGGGUUGUAAACCUCUUUCAGCUCUGACGAAGCGAGAGUGACGGUAGGAGCAGAAGAAGCACCGGCCAACUACGUGCCAGCAGCCGCGGUAAUACGUAGGGUGCAAGCGUUGUCCGGAAUUAUUGGGCAUAAAGAGCUCGUAGGCGGUUUGUCGCGUCGAAUGUGAAAACCCGGGGCUCAACUCCGGGCCUGCAUUCGAUACGGGCAGACUAGAGUUCGGUAGGGGAGACUGGAAUUCCUGGUGUAGCGGUGAAAUGCGCAGAUAUCAGAGGAACACCGGUGGCGAAAGGCGGGUCUCUGGGCCGAUACUGACGCUGAGGAGCGAAAGCGUGGGGAGCGAACAGGAUUAGAUACCCUGGUAGUCCACGCCGUAAACGUUGGGCGCUAGGUGUGGGGGUCCUUCCACGACCUCCGUGCCGCAGCUAACGCAUUAAGCGCCCCGCCUGGGGAGUACGGCCGCAAGGCUAA
rnacentral:rRNA from 1 species